rnacentral:misc_RNA from 1 species
AGGUGGGGCUGAUGACUGGGGUGAAGUCGUAACAAGGUAGCCGUACCGGAAGGUGCGGCUGGAUCACCUCCUAACAGGGAGACAACAAUCGAUCAUGAUGCUUAAGUGCUCUAUUCUUAAGCCUUGAUCCUGUCACCUUAGGUCGAUCGGUACCUCAAGUUGAGCCCUAACAAGACAAGCUGAUUCUUUUAGCUUUUCAGUAGGGAUUGAUUUUAGUUCCUAAACUUUGUCUAGGUCACACCCCGCAAGGGUUACUCCUGGGCCAUUAGCUCAGGUGGUUAGGGCGCACCCCUGAUAAGGGUGAGGUCCCUGGUUCAAGUCCAGGAUGGCCCAUUCGGUGUUGGGGGUUUAGCUCAGUUGGUAGAGCGCCUGCUUUGCAAGCAGGAUGUCAGCGGUUCGAGUCCGCUAACCUCCACUGACCGACAUCCUCCAAACAUUUAAAGUUGAGGACCUUUGUGAGAUGUGAUCUUGAUUAUUAGUUUUCCGUUGAAUGAACCUAGCCCCUUUUUAUUCCUAAUUUAAUAAUUAUUAGGCUGAAAGGAUGCUGGGCUCACUGCAAUUUAAUUGCAGAUUUGUUCAGCAGAACCUUGACAACUGCAUAGGUGAGUCUGGAAAGAAAAAGCAUCUCAUGGAUUCAUUGUCUUUUGACUUAAAAACGUUCUUACCUAAGAAGUAACGACUUUUUUAUUCAAUAGAUUAAUGUUUAAAUCUAGAUUGAGAGCCGAGACUCUAUAACGUACUUUUGAUUUCGAAAUGAAUAUCAAGAGUUUGAUUUGUAAUUCAAACCAUUUGAAAAUUUAUUUUCUAGACAGGUGAAUCACUUAGAAAACGUAUUCAACAACGUUAAUCGUUAUAGAGAAAAUUGGUCAAGCUACAA